rnacentral:lncRNA from 1 species
CACCAUCAAUUUAGAUCUAAAUCCUGACAUUGCCACCUAGGUGGCUUUAAUUAUUUUAACAAGGUGAUAAAGGCUGGGAUGCUAUUUAUUUAAAAUAAACAGUUCUCAGUUACCCUAAUAAACACAUUGUAUUCACAUUGUUUUUUAAAAAAUGAACUUCUAACUUUAGAAUAAUUUUAGAUUUGCAGGGAAAUUGCGAAAAUAGUAUAGAGAGUUCCCAUAUGUCCUAAACCCAGUUUUCCCUAUUACUAACACCUGGCGUUAGUGUGGUACAUUUACCACAACUAGUAAACAAAUAUUGACACAUUGUUUGUAAACAAAGUCUGCAAUUUAUUCAGGUUUUUCUUAGUUUUAACCAGAUAUUCUUUAUUUGUUCUAGGACACCACAUUACAUUUAGUUGUCAUGUCUCCUUAGGCUCCUCUCGGCUGUGACAGUUCCUCAGACUUUGUUUUGAUGACCUUGGCGGUUUUGAGGAGUACUGGCCAGGUAUUUUGUACAUUGCCCUUCUAUGGGGAUCUGUCUGGCUAAGGUUUUUGUUUUUUGUUUUUUCUCAUUACUAGAAUGGUAUUGAGUUUGAGGGAAGAAUAUCACAGAGGUGAAGUGCCCAUUCUCAUCUCAUCAUAUUAAGAUGAUGAUACAAACUAUCAACAUGAUUUAGGACUAUUGAUCUUGGCCUGGCUCACCUGGCCGGGCCAGUGUUUUCAGUUUUCUCCACUGCAAAGUUACUCUUUCGACCCCUUCUGGUACUGUGCUCUUUGGAGGGAAGUCACUAUGAGCAACCCGCUCUUAAGGAGUUGGGAGCUAUUUAACUCUCCUUGAGAGGGUGCUAAGUAGAUCCAUUAUUUGGAUUCUUCUGUUUAGGAGAUUUGUCCUUUCUAUCCAUCUAUCAUCCAUCUAUCUAUCUAUCUAUCUAUCUAUCUAUCUAUCUAUCUAUCUAUCAUCUCUCUCUGCCUAUUUAUCUAAGCCCACGGCAUGUGGAAGUUCCCAGGGCUAGGCAUUAAUCCACACCACAGCAGUGACCCGAACUGCUGCAGUGACAACCCUGAAUCCUUAACCUGCUGCACCACCAGGGAACUCCUCCAUUUAUUUAUUUACUCCACUCUUUGUUUAUAUCAGUGUGGACUCAUGGAGAGUGAUUUUACACUUUGGAUUAUAAUCCCAAUCCAAUUUUUAAUUUUUCUUGCUCAGAUUAUUUUGGCCCUUGAGAACUCUUGCAGUUUCUCUGGUGCCCUGUUGAUAUGGCCCCAUCAUUGUUCUUUUGAUCUUUUUUUUUUUUUGGAGCACUUUUAAACUUUCUGGCUCUAAAAGAGGCCAUAGAACAGAAUCAGCCAUCCCGCCGUGCUCCCCGCCCAGGAGCCCUGGUCCCUUUUAUUGGAGAAUGGUAUUAGAAGCAAUGAUCCAGGUGCUGGGUUUAUGUUCACUUAGGUACACAUUUUGUAUACUUUUAUCCCUCCAACUACCUUGUAAAGUUAUUUGUCUUAUUUUAUGGACAAGCAAUCUUUGCAGCCAUGCAAAUUUUCCCCAGCUAGUCGUAGAGUCUGACCUCAUGUCUGUAUUUGAGGUGACUACAAAUCCAUGUUCCUUUUAAUAUGCCCAGAAAUAAUGGCUAAAAUGGAAGAAGAGUGUACUUUAUUCCCUGCAAUUGGAUGAAAGAUUUUGCAUUGACUUUUUUUUUUUUUUUCUUUUUAGGGCCGCACCUGUACCAUAUGGAAGAUCCCAGGCUAGGGGUUGAAUUAAAGCUGCAGCUGGGGCCUAUGCCGCAGCCACAGCAAGGCCAGAUCUGAGCUGCCUCUGUGACCUACACCACAGUUCGUGGCAACUCCAGAUCCUUAACCCACUGAUUGAGCCCAAGGAUUGAACUUUAUCCUCGUGGAGAAAAUGUGAGGUCCUUAGCCCAGUGAGUCACAACGGGAACUCCUACAUUGACUUUUAUUUUAUUUUUCCCCCAGAGAAAGAAUUUGUUGUGGGGUCAGUUGUUUGUUGAAGCUCUCUGGCUGUCCAAGGAAAGUGGGGGCUUCUGGUGUCCCCAGUUUACUGCGGUGCCUCUAUGGGCCCAGGACUUGGGAUGCGCUAUCCUGACCUGACUCACAGGAUCAGAGGGAGGGGAAUCUCUCUGGAGGACCCUAGGCAGGCUGCGAACAGGACUAGGGCCAAUCGGAUUUGGAGAGGCAGGGGCUGGUGAGGAGGAAAGAAACAAAGAACAUCACUGGAAGGAAAAACCCUGGGAGAAGGAAAGAUUCUGGCAGAAAAGAGAAAGCCUAAUGCAUAGUGGCCAAAUUUCCAUUUUCCUCAGCAGUUCAGGAGAGUUGGUGGCUCCUUAGUGAGGAUAAAUUUCCUGCCACCAAGUGAGGCACACAGGCUCUUUAUUUGGAUAUUUUCUGUGUCAUUGGAAAAAAAAAACUUGCAUAUAUUUCCAACUCAUUAUCUUUGGGGAUAUUGUUAACUUUAUGACAGAUGGGCCCCAUGGAAGAGGUUGACACUGUCAAGCUCCCAAUGGGGGUGAGUAAGAGACCUGGCCUUGAGUAUAAGUUAAGAAGAACUUGAAGAAAUUUUACUAUAGCCAAAAUAUUUUAAAUAACAUUUGACAUUAAAGCACGUUUAUUGUGGAAAAUAAGAUCAUGCAGACAAGCAAAUAAAAGAAAGAAUUCUCCCACUUAGAGAUAUUUACUCUUAGAAUGUUGCUGUAUUUCUGCUUUUUUUCCUUCUCUAAGUAUCCAUGGAUGACAUCAGACUCAAGUUGCCUAUAAAAUUUGCGUCUCUUUUUUCACUUAAUGUUUGAUUACCUUUUAAUCUUAUUAAGAAUUGCUGGCAAAUUUGAUAUCUAAUGGAUGUAUAAGAUUAUAUCAUAUUGGAUACAUUCAGUUUGAAGUAUGCUGUGAUCAAUUUUUGUAUAUGUUUAUUGUACUUUUUUUUGGUCUUUUUUACAGCUGCACCCACGGCAUAUGGAGCUUUGUUCCCAGGCUAAGGCUCAAAUCAGAGCUGUAGCCACUGGCCUAUACCACAGCCACAGCAACGCAGGAUCCAAGUUGCAUCUGCGUGCGACCUGCACCACAGCUCUCGGCAACACUGGAUCCUUAACCCAGAGUGAGGCCAGGAAUUGACCCUGUGUCCUCAUGGAUGCCAGUCGGAUUCAUUUCUGCUGAGCCACAAGGGGAACUCCUGAAUAUGUACAUUUUGAAGAUAGCUAAGAUGAUUCCCAUAGGAACAAUUUCUAGAAGUGGAAUAAAGUGAUGAUAAUAAAAGUAUCUGUUCCAGAGAGUGGAUGUAAGGAAAAUGAGAUCAAAUGAAUUAAACCACUCACAACAGUGUUUGGUACAUGCCAAACAGUCAAAGAAUGUUAGGUGUGAUUGUUGAAAUUAUGUUCCACUUGAUAAAUAUUUAGAAAUAACAUUCCAGUGGACUCCUUUUCAUUUUUUUUCAUUUUUUCAAAGUUUUUUUUGAAGUAGGGUUGAUUUACAAGGUUGUGAUAAUUUCUGCUGUAAAACAGAAAUUAGUUAUGUAUACAAACAUCCAUUCUCUUUCAGAUUUUUUUUUUCCCAUAUAGAUUAAUAGAUUAUCACAGAAUAUUAGCUAGAGUUCCCUGGUUUUUUUUUUUUUUUUUUUUUUUUUUUUAAGGCCACACCUGAGGCAUAUGGAGGCUCCCAGGCUAGGGGUCGAAUCAGAUCUGUAGCUGAUGGCCUAUAACACAGCCACAGCCAUGCAGGAUCCAAGCUGCAUCUGUGACCUACACGACAGCUCAUAGCAACGCCAGAUCCUUAACCCACUGAGUGAGGCCAGGGAUCAAACCCUCAUCCUCAUGGAUACUACUCAGGCUUGUUACCACUGACCCAUGACUCCCUCUGGUCAUUCUUAAUAUAAGCAUGUCAUCAAACAUUUUAAUAGUGGUUAAAAUAUUGUGAACCACAACACUAAGCUUUGUGAAGGACAUCUGAGGGAAGAGAUGGGCUUCUGGCAAGAAGAGAUUAAAGAAACCAGCAACGGGCCCUUUGAAGAGUGGAUUAAAGGAGUGAGAAAUAGCCUAGAAAGAAAUGAUGAGACAAAUGUCACCAUUUCAUCUGAUGUGAGUAUGACCGGGACUUACUCUGGGGUGGCGUGCAGUCAUGAUGUGUGUGUGUAUGCGUGUGAGAUGUUGUGGGGCUGGUGGGAAAGAGAGGCAAGGCUCUUGUGAUGCCUGAUGUCUUCCUGGGCCCGGGCGUCCCCAGCAGAUGGGCUUUGGGGCUGAACAGCCAGGAGCAGUCACACAUUGUCAAGGGCAGAGUAGAGACUGAGUGGGGUCAUCCAGAGCUGUGAGGAAGGAGACAGGCCAGCUGUUGUCCAGAUUGGAACAACGUGUUCAGUUGUGGAGAAGGUAUAGCUGGAGACCAUCUGUUUUAUCAUAGGGUUAAAAAGACCAAAGCAAAGCCUGGACUGAAGGAUGAUCCAAAGUGAAGGAUCAUCACUGAGGGAUUACAUUUCAAUAAAUGAGACUGGAAUUCAGGAGGAUAGCAAAAAGACUAGGUUAAGAGAACCAAGGUGAGUGUGUUGCCUCCAGGGAACUGUGAUCUAAAAUGCAUUUGUGGAUUUCCCGUCAUGGCUCAGUGGUUAACAAAUCCGACUAGGAACCAUGAGCUCGAUCCCUGGCCUCGUUCAGUGGGUUAAGGAUCUGGCAUUGCUGUGGCUCUGGCGUAGACCGGCGGCUACAGCUCCGAUUCGACCCCUAGCCUGGGAACCUCCAUAUGCCGCGGGUGUGGCCCUAGAAAAGGCAAAAAGAC